CGGUAAUGACUUAGCAAUAUCACAAGAUGUCGUAAUUUACAAGUGUAAGAGUCAAAGCUCGGCACUGUAUGUUGAGGCAUGGAGAAAUGUCCUGUAUUGAGUCUGCUGCAACAAAGACCCUCAUUUUGCUUGACACCGGAGACAUUGUCCUAGCUAGAGCAAGGCCUGUGUCCUGGGACGUAGCAUUGCCAGCCAGCAAGAGAUGAUCUAUCCACGUCCUGGCAUAACCUAGCUAAUGGACAACACCGGUGGGCUUAUUACACAAGACGACAAAUGUACAGCGCUGUUGUGUCUCUUCCAUUUGGGCAGCAGACUACAAAUAAUUUCUCGGUCAUUGGAUGAAUUCCCAUCACACUUCAGGACCUCCGAAGGAUCAGUUUGUACUUUCUGUCAACUCAGCAGUGCAUUUCAUUUCGUUUCAUUUUCAGCUUUCUAACACAAGCCUGUGUGUUGACAACCGAUCUGCUGUGAAAUGUUUAGAAAAACACAGUCUGUAUCAUUUAUUCUUCAGUAUGUACCAAUCAUUGAUCUCCGAAUCCAACUAUUACUCACGUCAUAUGUUAAUUCUGGAUUCUAUUAAUGCUAUCAUACUUGUCUUUAUAAUCAUUAAUUAUUUGCUACAUAUACAUUUUACAAUAAUACAUGCUGUAUUGUUACAUUUUAUAACAAUGGAGUUCAUCUGAUGACAUUACAUCUACAUCUAGUGACCU